UACAGAGGGUGCAAGCGUUAAUCGGAAUUACUGGGCGUAAAGCGUGCGUAGUCGGUUAUCUAAGUCGGGUGUGAAAUCCCCGGGCUCAACCUGGGAAUUGCAUUCGAUACUGGAUAGCUAGAGUUCGGCAGAGGGAAGCGGAAUUUCGGGUGUAGCGGUGAAAUGCGUAGAUAUCCGAAGGAACAUCAGUGGCGAAAGCGGCUUCCUGGACCAGAACUGACGAUCAGGCACGAAAGCGUGGGGAGCAAACGGG
rnacentral:rRNA from 1 species